rnacentral:misc_RNA from 1 species
GUGAGGUGGGGAAUCUCCGUACCCCCAGUACUAUCGGAGCUGUGUAGGAGAGAGGAAAACCAUCCUAAACCCCCUCCUCCGACUCCUGGUGAACCUGGCGAUGUGAAUACAGAACCUUGAGUUUAAACUGGAGAAAAGUUCCAAAUUUUGACGCAAGAUGGAGACACUGGCGAUAGCUGAUCAUAAAUACAACCUACGGUGGCCGGACUACCAUGACACCAUCCUUUCAACUUUUAGAAGUUUGAAGGCCGAUGAAGAUUUUGUGGAUGUAACCUUGUCAUGCGAAGAACACCAAUAUUCGGCACAUAAGGUUGUCCUGUCAGCAUGCAGUCCUUACUUCAGAAAACUUCUAAAGAACAACCCUUGUCAGCAUCCUAUUGUUAUCUUAAGAGAUGUCGCAGAAGACGACCUCAGAUGUCUGCUGAACUUUAUGUACCACGGCGAAGUCCAGGUUGCCCAGGACAAUAUUCAGAGUUUUCUCAGGACUGCUGAAACUUUACAGAUAAAGGGGCUCUCAGACCAUCCUUUGAAAGAUCAAUGCCAAAAAACUUCUUCUACCUCCCUGUCUCCCCCCACCUGCCAGACGAACCCCGAGCAGCUCGAGCAGAUGGAUGCUGAGGACUACUCUCCUAGACUUAAACGAGUUCGUCACAAUAACGGACUCAACGGUCCCCACUCGUCCUCUCCUCCUCUCCCCUGUCGUCAAUCCCCAUCGGACCAUUCUCGUCACAAUGGUGACCGGGAACCGUGGCAGCGACCAAUCUCUCCGCGAAGCGACAAUGUCGAAUCUAGCAGCCACAAGUUCGACAAAUACGACAUUACCGACAAAUCCCUGCUCAGUCAAGCACUUGAGAAGAGCGACAGUCGUGACAGUGCGAGCGACACGACCGGUAGCGAGCGACCCGGCUCAGCCAGCUUGGACACCAUCAAGUCCGAGAUGGGUCGAGAUAUUGAACAUCACCCCAACCCUCUGUUCCCGCCUGGUCUUGAGGCGUUGUACCGGCAGGCUGGGUUUCCUUCCUUCCUGGGUCUAGGGCAGGGACAGUCUAAUCUAUCUAUCCCGACCCUACCCGGUCCUUCUACCACACAUGUAGGACUACAAAGCCAUGCUGCUAACCCGACAAUCGGCGGUUUGUUGUCGGAGUUAACCGCCCCUGUUUCAGUCGGCGGGAAGCUUGAGAUGAUGCGCGUGCGCGCAACGGAUCCCAGACCCUGUCCUAAAUGCGGGAAAAUUUACAGGUCUGCGCACACUUUGCGCACGCACAUGGAGGAUAAGCACACAAUCUGCCCUGGAUACCGAUGUGUCCUGUGUGGAACUGUCGCCAAGUCGAGGAACUCGCUGCACUCGCAUAUGUCACGACAGCACCGUGGGAUCAGUACCAAAGAUCUCCCUGUACUACCGAUGCCGUCGCCCUUCGACCCAGAUCUUGCAAGCAAACUUCUUUCAAAAGCUGGAGUAAAGGUUUCUGCAAGUGAACUUGCCGCGCGCGCCUCGCCGACUGCACCGAGACGAUCUGACCUGCCCAAGCUAGACAACAGCUUGUCAAUCCAUCAAUCAAACCAGUUCCCUCUCCCACCCUCUCUUCAUCCUUCUCAUCUCAGUCUGGGGAGAGACAGGGAGAACACAGAUCCUGAAGACCUUCGCUAUUCUUAUCUCAGGGUACCGAUGUCAUCUCCCUACUCCUCCUCCCCCUUCUCUUCUCCAAACUCCCAUCCCAUCAACUCAUUCCCUCUGAUGGGAGGGCUCCGACACCCCAACCCUAAGGAUUUCCCUGGUAUGGGAGGAUCGGCUCUCCUCGACACCUACCUAUCCAUGAUAGCAGCAGCUGAUGGUAAUGUUGCAGCUGCCGCCGCUGCUCUAAACUUCCAGAACAGUCCCGCCAGAGCGGCGGCUAUGGCAGCUGCUGCCGCAGCUGCAGGACUUAUCCCUAUGAAUGGCAAGGAUGACAGGUAUGGAUCUGACCGAGAGGAUGAAGGAGAACUAGGUUCGGAUGCGGAGAAUGAUGAUAUCAGCGAGGUCGGAGAUACCAGACCAACCAGUGCUGGUAUAGGGAUCACUACAGGAAACAAUGGAGACCAUUAGACAAGUAUAGACUCAUCCCAACCUAUAGAUAUAUCAGUAUAUAUAUAUAUAUAUAUAAACAUUGUAAAUUAACAAAUUUGUCAUAUUAAUGGAUCUGUUCUAACUGCGGAGAGAUUAAACGGAGAUAUUUAAACGAGCGGAGAGAUAUCAACGAACGGAGAGAAGAAAUGUCGCAAAAAUAUAUCAUUUUUAUCCUUGAUGUUUCAUUCUAUUUCUAAACAUGUAAAAUAGACAAAAUUUGUUUAAGUUCCAGUCGGGUUAAAAAUACAACCCGCGAGAGAGCACCUUUAAAGCUCAAACUUAUUCAGUGCCAUUUAUUAUUUCAGCGAUUUUUAAUUGGAAUUAUGUAAAAAUAUGUAAUUUUUUCUAUUUUCAUAGAAAGCAUCAGAAUACUGAUGUCAUAAUAAACCUGUAGGUGCUAAUAUGUUAGAAUAUCCUUAUAGAAACCUACAUUAACUGUUGCAUCUUUUUUACCCCCCCCCCCCCUAGUUAUAUCUUGUAAUUAUAAACAUAUGUAAUAGUCACAUUGUACUUAAUGAACCCGGUUCAAAAACCGGUCUGAGGUAAUUCAAAGCAAUAAGUCGAGAGAUCCACGUUUUGUGAUAUUUUAAAAUUAGAGAAAAUUUACUUUUCCCCUUCUUUUCCCAGUUGUAGUAGUUUUAUGAUCAUGUUUACUCCGGUGUUUGUAACCUUUAGCCAAACCUUAUCACAUCACAUUUGAUAGCAAUAACUCUUUUCAUGCAAAAAUAGUCUUAAUUUGUGAUAACCAGUACUACCGGUGAUUCAAGGAGAAUUAGAUAUUUGUAACAAGUUGAACAAAAAGUAAUUUUCAUAAUUUACUUUUUCAACAAUUUUUAAUUGUGCAACCAUAACAGGGUAUCCCCUCUAGUAAUUAAUAUGUAAGAAGAAUGCCAAAAUUCUGAAAUUAUUAUUGUAUGUGUACAGUCAGAUUUAUAAACGUUUAAAAGGGUUUAAUUUGUUGGAACUCUUAUUUUUAUGUUUUCUACCUCACCCCCUUCCAUCUUCAGAUCCUCCUCCUCCUCCUCCUCCUCCUCCCUCAAAACUCCUUUAUAUCGACUCUAUAAAAUUCUCAAUGUGCCAUAUAUACAAUACAUCAUGUACUUCUUAA